GUUAAAAAGCUCGUAGUUGGAUUUCUGCGGGGGCGGGGCGGCCUGUUGCUUAUAGCAACUCGAGCUAGCACUUCCCCUGCAUCCUGCCGCGAACCGUGCUACCAUUAGUUUGGUGGCGCUGGGGAUCGGCUCGUUUACUUUGAGAAAAAUAGAGUGUUCAAAGCAGGCCACACGCCUUGAAUAAGUUAGCAUGGAAUAAUGAUAAAGGACUUCGGUUCUAUUUUGUUGGUGUUCGGGGCUGAAGUAAUGAUUGAUAGGGACAGUUGGGGCGGUCCGUAUUCCAAAGCGAGAGGUGAAAUUCUUAGACCUUCGGAAGACGAACAGCUGCGAAAACGUUCCGCAAGGAUGUUCCCUUUGAUCAAGAACGAAAGUUGGGGGAUCGAAGACGAUCAGAUACCGUCGUAAUCUCAACUAUAAACUAU
rnacentral:rRNA from 1 species